rnacentral:misc_RNA from 1 species
ACUGACAUCAUGAAAGACUUUGAGGAGCCGGGUCACCUUGCCCCUACAGGUCUACACCUUGGGGGCACAAAGUACAUGGUUAUCCAGGGAGAGGCUGGAGCUGUUAUCCGUGGAAAGAAGGGAUCAGGAGGGAUCACCAUAAAGAAGACUGGUCAAGCUCUUGUUUUUGGCAUCUAUGAGGAACCUGUGACUCCAGGACAGUGCAACAUGGUCGUGGAGAGGUUGGGGGAUUACCUCGUUGAUCAGGGGCUGUAGGCCUAGUCUAUCACAAUUUAUCACAUUUCUUUUGUGGGGUUACGAGUACUGUUUUU